rnacentral:RNase_P_RNA from 1 species
GGGGCAGAUCAGGGCAUCGCGCAGUAAUGCGAGGAAAGUCCGGGCUCCAGAGGGAACGACACCGGGUAAUCCCCGGGAUCCGGUUCGUCCGGAUACAGACAGUGCAACAGAAAGGAUACCGCCCGCUUCGGUGGGUAAGGGUGAAAUGGUGGGGUAAGAGCCCACCGGGCUCCGGGUAACCGGAGUUGCACGGUAAACCUUGUCGGGAGCAAAGCCAAGCAGUGGAGGGGUUUCCCGCUCGGACCGACUUUCGGGCCGGUCACUUCACGGGUCGGCUGCUUGAGGAUCGACGAGAGUCGAUCCCCAGAUAGAUGGUGCUCACCGUGCCGUUUCGGCGGUACGGCACAGAACCCGGCUUAUCGAUCUGCCCCUUCA